rnacentral:pre_miRNA from 1 species
UCAACCGGCGUCCCAGGCGUCGCAGGGCCGCCCUGUGUGUCUGGCUGUGGGAUCCCGUGUUGUUUACCUGGUGACCCGUCCAGA